GAUCCAGACUCCUACGGGAGGCAGCAGUGGGGGAUAUUGCACAAUGGGGGAAACCCUGAUGCAGCGACGCCGCGUGAGUGAAGAAGUAUUUCGGUAUGUAAAGCUCUAUCAGCAGGGACGAAAAUGACGGUACCUGACUAAGAAGCCCCGGCUAACUACGUGCCAGCAGCCGCGGUAAUACGUAGGGGGCAAGCGUUAUCCGGAUUUACUGGGUGUAAAGGGAGCGUAGGCGGUUACGCAAGUCUGGAGUGAAAGGCGGGGGCCCAACCCCCGGACUGCUUUGGAAACUGUAUAACUGGAGUGCAGGAGAGGUAAGCGGAAUUCCUUGUGUAGCGGUGAAAUGCGUAGAUAUAAGGAAGAACACCAGUGGCGAAGGCGGAUUACUGGACGAUAACUGACGGUGAGGCGCGAAAGCGUGGGGAGCAAACAGGAUUAGAUACCCCCGUAA
rnacentral:rRNA from 1 species